rnacentral:rRNA from 1 species
AUUGAACGCUGGCGGCAGGCCUAACACAUGCAAGUCGAGCGAGCGGCGGACGGGUGAGUAAUGCCUGGGAAUUGCCCAGUCGAGGGGGAUAACAGUUGGAAACGACUGCUAAUACCGCAUACGAUUGGAUUGCCCAGGUGGGAUUAGCUAGUUGGUGAGGUAAUGGCUCACAAAGGCGACGAUCCCUAGCUGGUCUGAGAGGAUGAUCAGCCACACUGGGACUGAGACACGGCCCAGACUCCUACGGGAGGCAGCAGUAGGGAAUCUUCGGCAAUGGACGGAAGUCUGACCGAGCAACGCCGCGUGAGUGAAGAAGGCCUUCGGGUUGUAAAGCACUUUCAGCGAGGAGGCGUUACUCGCAGAAGAAGCACCGGCUAACUCCGUGCCAGCAGCCGCGGUAAUUC